rnacentral:rRNA from 1 species
GAUGAACGCUGGCGGCGUGCCUAAUACAUGCAAGUCGAGCGAACGGACGAGAAGCUUGCUUCUCUGAUGUUAGCGGCGGACGGGUGAGUAACACGUGGAUAACCUACCUAUAAGACUGGGAUAACUUCGGGAAACCGGAGCUAAUACCGGAUAAUAUUUUGAACCGCAUGGUUCAAAAGUGAAAGACGGUCUUGCUGUCACUUAUAGAUGGAUCCGCGCUGCAUUAGCUAGUUGGUAAGGUAACGGCUUACCAAGGCAACGAUGCGUAGCCGACCUGAGAGGAGGAGUAGCCACACGGGAAGUGAGACACGGUCCAGACGCCUACGGGAGGCAGCAGUGGGGAAGAUGGGAGAAUGGUCGAAAGACUGAUACAGUCAGAACGAGUGGGUGAAGAAGGGUUUCGGGUGGUAAAGCCCUUUUGUCGGGAAAGAAAAAAAGAAGGAUAAACACCAGCUGUCCUGACGGUACACAAAGAAUAAGCACCGGCUAACUUCGUG